CAGCCGCCGCGGUAAUACGAAGGGGGCUAGCGUUGCUCGGAAUGACUGGGCGUAAAGGGCGCGUAGGCGGAUGGCACAGUCAGAUGUGAAAUUCCCGGGCUUAACCUGGGGGCUGCAUUUGAUACGUGUUGUCUAGAGUGAGGAAGAGGGUCGUGGAAUUCCCAGUGUAGAGGUGAAAUUCGUAGAUAUUGGGAAGAACACCGGUGGCGAAGGCGGCGACCUGGUCCUUUACUGACGCUGAGGCGCGAAAGCGUGAGGAGCAAACAGGAUUAGAGACCCCAGUAGUCCCUGUCUCUUAUAC
rnacentral:rRNA from 1 species